AACACAGACACACCUGCCCGACCAGUCCAAAGGCCCGGUCCAAGCUCCUGGCAUCGGUGUACUUCCUGACUUUGUUGUGGAGCCAGCCGAGCUCGGCCAGUCUGCUGCUGGUGUCUCUCAGGGACUUGCACAGCACCACCUGCAGUUAUCCUGGGCACUCAUCUUGAUGAACUUGCCAUCGAUUCCCUGGAAGACGUAGAGGAUGUCCCGCACCAGCGCCGCCUCGCUCACCUCACCUGCACCCACAGAGGACGAGAGGACAGAGAAUUUGCUGUACAUAAGUACACAGUUUACUUCCCAAAUUCAGUGUAACGCAGGAUGUCACUCACCGUCGCGGCGAGGACGCACCACUCUGGAGGAGGGAACUGGAGGUCCGAGGGGUGGUCGAGUGGCGAGCGGGGCCAGAGCGGAGGAAGGGGAGCAGCUUACAGGAAGAGCCCAGGCCAGCCGAGAGCCC